rnacentral:rRNA from 1 species
AAUGAACGUUGGCGGCAUGGAUUAGGCAUGCAAGUCGAGCGAGAAGUGUAGCAAUACACGGAAAGCGGCGGAAGGGAGAGUAAUACGUGGGAAUCUGCCCUUAGACCUGGGAUAGCAGCGGGAAACUGCUGGUAAUACCAGAUAAUGUCUAUGGACCAAAGAUGUGAUUCCGUCUAGGGAUGAGCCCACGUCCUAUUAGCUAGUUGGUAGGGUAAUGGCCUACCAAGGCGAUGAUGGGUAGCGGGUGUGAGAGCAUGACCCGCCUCACUGGGACUGAGACACUGCCCAGACACCUACGGGUGGUUGCAGUCGAGAAUCUUCGGCAAUGGGCGCAAGCCUGACCGAGCGAUGCCGCGUGCGGGAUGAAGGCCUUCGGGUUGUAAACCGCUGUCGAGGGGGAGCAACUUCCAUAGAGUUAUCUUUAUGGAUUGAGUGAUCCCUGGAGGAAGGACGGGCUAAGUUCGUGCCAGCCGCCGCCGUAACAC